GGGGUGGCCCAGAGCUCCAAGGCUACACGCUAUAUCCCACUCUGCCAUGUCCUCGCAAGCACUGUGAAUGGGGCCUAUCACCAUUUGUUCUUUCAAGACCCCAGCGCAGGGACCGGCCAAGCCCUCACUGAACACUGAACUCCGGGUGCAGUACCGCAGUGGAAACAAUACCCAGCCCAUGACUCACAGCUUACAUUUUAACAAGGGAGACAGAUGCCCAGCGAGAAGGAGACAGGAAGGACCCAGACAGGUGACACCUGUCCGGCUUGUCUUCCCUCUCGUAAGACCCGACAGUGCCACACCCUCCCACGAGAAGCUGGUGACAGAGAGUGCACGGUGGGUACGGGAAGGCCCCGGAGGGCGGAUGCAGACCUUCAGAACAGUCCGUCUGUGCGGCAGCAAAGGCUCCUCUCUGCGAAGCUUUCCUCCUGUUGCUCGCCACCCCCUUCUCACUGCAGUCGGCCCAUGUGCCUGUCUCCCCACUUUAUGCCGAAGCUCUGGAAGGCUUCGCUUCUCUCCAGCUUUGCCUUCAGCCAGGCGCAGAGUCAGCGGCUCUAAGUGUUUGCAGAGCACCCCUGAGUGGCAGAGGUGGAAGGAAAGGCGUUGGAGGCUAAGAGCACAGCAAGAGCCCCUGCUCAGAGGCCAGAAGGUACGGCCAGACCCAGAAGAUGGCACGGGAGUUGCCUGGGGCAGCAAAUGCCGGCGGACCCCCUUUGGAAGCACCCCCGUGUCAGGCACUGCGGCCUGGGCUGUCCCAUCAAUGGCUUCGGGACUAUUGACUUCAUAAGUCAGCACCAUUUAAAACUUUUCUCCAGUUUCACAGAAAAGAGCACCAUAUUGAAGAGAUGCCAGGACCAAGGAAAUAGGAAGGUCACUGUCCCAGUGUAAGGGACAGCCCUAAUUAAGUGUGGAGGGAAGACCUUCAUGCCCUGCUCUGGGCUGUCUGUCUGCUGGAGGAGCAGUGGUGGGGGCCUUCCACGCCCCUCCAGCCGCCCGGGGGCCGGUGCUUUAUCCCCGCUUCACAAGGGCAGCGCCAAGGCUCAGAAAACCUCCGGGGGUUACUAAUCACAACCCAAGUCUGGCCUGUAACCUGUGCAAGUGAGCCUGAUGACUGUGUUUUAACCUGAGCCCUGGGUGGCUCUGAAACUCACUGGCACCUGAGGGGAGUCCUGGGUCCCGCCGCCUCCCGGAGGUGGACCAAGCGCACCCCCGCCUCAGGCCGCUGCACCUGCCGCCCCUCGGGGAGGUGAUCCCCCUCGGCUUCACAAAUCUAGCUCUUCGCAGAUUUGGGUCUCAACCCAUGUGCCACCACAGGAAGGCCCUCCCUGAUCCCAGUGACUAAAUACACAGUCGUCCCCGUCACAGAAACCCCCGUACUUCCUUCCCUGCAUUUAUCAUCCUGUGAAACAGGCUCUGCUGGGGCCUUGGUCUAGUCACGCAGCAGCCCUGGCACCGAGUCGGCCCUGAGUGCCGGGGCCUGGGGGACACAGGCCGCGGUCCCUCCUCCACUGCGGAGCGCCACCCAAGGGAACGCUCUGGAGGAGGGACAGGGUACUUCGAGGCGCUCUGUGGUCCGGGGAGGACAGGGAGUCAGGACGUGAGCUGGGCCUCUCCGGGCUGCAGCUGGCUGGGGGAGGGGGGCGCUGGCCGCAAGCAAGACUCGGGGCGCUGCACCCCGGCACCGGUAACCCCGCCCCGGUACAGAUGGAGCGCGGGAGGGCCCGACAGACAGGCGGAAUCCGCUUGCCCCGGGCCACACAGAGGAGCUGCGGAGAGCCAGGGCUCCGGACAGCCACGGUGCCUGAUCGAGAAUGCGGCCUCGGCAGAGGGAGCCUCCCCUCCUCCAGGGAGCCUUCUCUGCUCGCUCGGUUGUGGUUAGUGCGAUUCCCGUGCCUCUCCCUCCUCGUGGGUCUUAUCAGGCCGGGCCAUAAUUUCCUGAUGAGGCAGCUGCCCCCACCGUCGGACUGGGAGUUCCUCUGGGGGUGGGGACAGGGCACCAAGACCUUGUUCGGAGGUGGGGCCCAGCAACGGGGUGGGCCCGAGGACCUGCUUGGGCUGGGUGCCCGGGUUCCCAGUCGGUAGAUGUGGGGGAGCAGAAGCAGAUAUGGGGUGUGGCGAGUUAUCACCCCCCCUCCCCGGUUCCCCAGCUCCUUUGGGGGCAAAGUGAAGGCAGUGAGCCUGUUCCGGGGCUGAAGGCUGAAGAAGUGUUAGAACUACAGACCACAGGUCCUUCCUGGGGCCCCAAACCCCACUCCACAGGCCCUUCAAAGGCCUGCUUCAGCCACUUCUCUCUGGGGUGACCCGGAAUAAAUCACUUCGCUUUCCUGUGCUUUUGGUUCCUGCUCUGUAAAACAGGAAUGACCAUGGAACCCGCAGCCUAGGGCUUCGGAAAGCAGACCUGCCUGUGACCUGACUACACAGGAGUCCCCCAGACUCACCAGUUCACUAUGAGCCAGAUCUCCCCCUUGGUCUGGCGCCUUUGCCUUACGCCCCUCUCAGAGGAACAGGAAAGGGAUGGGAGACACUUCUGGAAAACCCACAUGGGUCAAGUCAGCUUCCCCCCUUCCCUGGCAAGCAAGAGUCCCCAGAGCCCCCGAAGGGCAAGCACAGACACAGUGACACACCCCCCAAGUGAAACAGUUCUGCUAGAGACACAAUCCUCCCCUUCGCCCACUCUUGGACCCUCAGAAGCCCAAGGAGCCCCUAUAGUGUAGGUGAUUAGCGAGAGAUGCUGAGACAGGGCCUGGGGACCUGUCUAAAGCCCCACCUGCAGUGAACUCCCCUUCGUGCCCGUAAGGGUCCCCCCACAUGCCAGACUCACAGUGACACAGUCACAAAGCCCCCUCUCGAGAUGACCCCCACCCCGCCCAGAAUCACAGGAACAGGGACACAGAGCUCCUCCAAGAUGCUAGAGCAACCUCCCCCUAACAAACACCUGGAGAUAGAGACCCCCCCAUAGAGAGGGAGACAGCCCCCCAACAAACAACUGGCCUGGGAUCUCCCUGACACUCACUCGACUCGCUUCCGAGAUGCAGGAGUCCUGGCUGACACAGAGUGCCCGAGUGUGGAGGAACCAUCUGUGAGGACAGGCGUGAACCUCCACUCCAAGGCCUGCCCAUGGAGGGGCCACACCCAAGCCUAGAGGGGCCAUGGCUUAAGAGGGGCCACCACCGCAGGUUCCACACCUGCCGUACCCACUCGUAGGCAUGACAGGACAGAUGAGCCAAGGAGCCAGUCAGUCCAUCGGCACCUUUGUCAGCUGAUCUCGCCCAACAGGGUGACAAAAGUGACCACACCUGGCACCACCCAGGACAGAGCCCUACAGGGCAGGAAUGGAGGAAACCACUGCCCCCCACCCGCACUGGCCAACACCUCCUCCACACCUGUAUUCAAGCUGCGCCCCCCACGCAGGGCACCGUUCCUGGCCCAAACCUGGGCUCUCAGGGUGGCAGGUUAGGAUCAACAACUCUCUAGACCCUGGAGCUGAGUAAAGACCCUGAGGACCUCAUAGGCUGGUCACCCACCACCACCUUCAGUCAGUUUAUGGCUGGCCUGGAACAUUUUUGAGGACGGACAUGGCCUCUUAGUCUGGGAGUGCUCAGCAGGCAGCCGGCAGGCCCAGAGAUGGUCCUGAGCGGGGUCGGGACCCAGCCAGAAACCCCCUCUACCCCGCCCUCCCCGUCACCCACUGCAAACCAGCUGCCACCAGCCCACACCUUGAGCGACCACAUCCUGCUCCGGGAGACCCCGCCAGGAAUCGUCCCUGCCCCCACAUGACCGCAGAGCCCCAAGACCAAUGCACCCCAUCCCCAUCCACCCUUCCCCCAGGCCAUGCCCUCCCGUCACAGUGCCACUGCUCCUGGCCACCUCCGUCCUGGGGACACCCCAAGCCAUGAGUGCGGGGCUGCGGUCAAGACAGAGCCAUGGCUGCAAGAGUCCAGGCCAUGUGUCCAGCUGUGCCCAAGGGUCAAAGCUGGCACUGCCCACCUGAGCCUUCUGGCCGCACGGUAGGGUGCGCCUGCAGACUUGGACACUCCUGCCCCCAAACACGGAUGGGCCACUGGAGUCUUCAGGUGAUCACCAUGGGUGUCACCAGGCCGAGGGGUCCCAGGCCCCAAGGCCUUCGACAAGGUGCCCACCAAGGGCCGUGCUGUGAAGCCAGAGCAGCGGGGGGAAGCCCCUCACCUCAGCAACUCGGGCUUCAGCUGCAGCCCCAGGGCCCGGUGGCUGCCGAGCCGGCUGAGGAUGGAAAAAGCUGUGGUUGAGAACUGUCGGCGGCCUGGGGUGGGGGAGCACGGCGGCGGAGGGGGGCUCGUCACCACCGAGACCCACCUCCUGCCUUCGAAGAAUGGUGAUUCCGAAGAGGCGGAAACGAUGACCUCUGGGGCGGGGGGGGGGGGGGGGGGGGCCGGGGUGCCAGGAAGGCUCCGAGCCCCUGAACGGAUGGAAACGCGGGCGAGAGCAAGGAGCUGGCUGGGUCGCAGCCGCAGCCAGCACAGCACCCGGGGGGUCCCCCACGCCUCUGAGCGCGUCCGACAGACUUGCCACCCUUACCUUGAGCCUGUUCACUGAGUGCUCCCCAGGCCAUGUGCCUGCACACACAGCAGCUCACGGACAUCAGAAAACAACAGGAAAUCACACCAGCCAGAAAGAAGAGAAACCGGAUGGGUUAAAUAAUUAGAAGUGAAAAAUAAGGCUCGAGACAAAACUGGAAUAGAACCCAAGUAAUUAUCUGAUCCAGGGUGGGAGGGGCCUGAGGCAGAAAAAGCAAAGGACAAAACCCCAAGGGAAAAGAUCAUGUAUUUUAUUGCCCGGACUUAAAAACCUCCAGAGAUGAAGAACCUCAGGAUAGAAAUUGAAAAGCCAAAUGGCGAAUAGGGGAAUAUUAUUAGCAGCAUGUGACAGCUUAUGCUCAUGUAAAGAGCUCUUGCAAAUCAACAAGAAAAAAGGCAGACAGUGUUGUAAAUGGCCUGUAAGUCACAAAAAUCUGUAUGACCAAGAAAUGGAAGAGAAACGGUCCAAAUCCACAGGGACAGAAAGUAGACUAGUGGCUGCCAGCGGUUGGGGAGGGUGGGCACGGAAAGUGGACUGACUGCUAACAGGUAUAGGGUUUCUUUCUGGGGCGACGGAAAUGUUCUGGAAUUAGCAGUGGUGAUUGUGCACACAGCGAAUAUAGUAAAAACCAAUGCACUGCACUCUCCUGUGGUGAAAUAUGUGAAUUCAAUAUUUUUAUUGGUUUUGGAGAAAUGGUCUGUUCCACUGCAGUCAGAAAGGGCAAGAUAACCACUUCACCUAGAAGUUGGCAGAAGUCUUAAAUAUCCAGUACUGGGCCUGCUGGUGGUGAGAAGGUGAGCGGCCCCAGCCCUUCUGCAAGGCUAUCUGCAAAGGAUCUAUCAGAAGCAUAGAAAUGGCCAGUUCAGCACAUGAAAAAAAUGCUCAGCAUCAGUCACCAUCAGGGAAAUGCAAAUCAAAACCCCAUGAGAGAGCUCUUCACACCCACCAGGACGAUUACAAUCAAAAAAAGACCGAUAACAAGAGUUGGUGAGGAUGUGGAGAAGCUGGAGCCCUCACCCGCAGCCGGUGGGAACAAAAAGGGGCAGCCGCCGCGGACAACAGUCUGGCAGUAAAAUGUGAAACCGAGAAUUACCAUGCAACCCGGCGGCGCCACUCCUAGACAGACACCCAAGGGAGAUGAACCCACGACGUCUGCACAGAAGGUUACACACGAAUGUUCACGGCAGCCCAGCCCCGUCCGCCCGGGAGCCACGCCGCGUGCCAGAAAGGGGGAGCGACGCAACGUCCGUUCACUGAUGGACAGACGGAACGUCGUGUGUCCGCACGGUGGAAUGGGACUCAGCCAUAAAAGGGGUGGGGCGCUGACACCUGCCACAACAUGGGUGAACCUUGAAGACGUGACACCAAGUACAAGAUGCUGGUCCCAAAAGACCGGCAAACUCUCGGAUUUUACUUCUAUAAAAACAACCUAAUGGGCAAAUGCAGAGAGACCGAGAGCAGACCAGUGGCGGAGGGAGGAGACAGUGCGGAGUGCCUGCUGAUGGGUGCAAGGUCUCUUUCUGAGAUGACGAAAGUGUUCUAAUAAAAUCAGAUCAUGGUGA